rnacentral:rRNA from 1 species
ACACGACUACGAGUUUGAUCCUGGCUCGGGACGAACGCUGGCGGCGUGCCUAACACAUGCAAGUCGAACGAGGUCCAUGCAGUGGCAACACUGCGGAAGACCUAGUGGCGAACGGGUGAGUAACACGUGAGGAACCUGCCCCGAAGACCGGGAUAACCCUCCGAAAGGAGAGCUAAUACCGGAUACCCCCACCUGGUCGCAUUGCCGGGUGAGGAAAUGGAUUCCGCUUCGGGAGGGCCUCGCGGCCUAUCAGCUAGUUGGUGAAGUAACGGCUCACCAAGGCAUCGACGGGUAGCUGGUCUGAGAGGACGAUCAGCCACACUGGGACUGAGACACGGCCCAGACUCCUACGGGAGGCAGCAGUGGGGAAUCUUGCGCAAUGGGCGAAAGCCUGACGCAGCAACGCCGCGUGGGGGAUGAAGGCUCUCGGGUUGUAAACCCCUUUCAGCAGGGACGAAAUUGACGGUACCUGCAGAAGAAGCCCGGCUAACUACGUG